CUCAGAGUGAACGCUGGCGGCAGGCCUAAUACAUGCAAGUCGAACGGCAGCACAGCAGAGCUUGCUCUGUGGGUGGCGAGUGGCGGACGGGUGAGGAAUACAUGGGAAUCUGCCCAGUCGUGGGGAUAACGUAGGGAAACUUACGCUAAUACCGCAUGCGCCCUUCGGGGGAAAGCCGGGGACCUUCGGGCCUGGCGCGAUUGGAUGAGCCCAUGUCGGAUUAGCUAGUUGGCGGGGUAAUGGCCCACCAAGGCGACGAUCCGUAGCUGGUCUGAGAGGAUGAUCAGCCACACUGGAACUGAGACACGGUCCAGACUCCUACGGGAGGCAGCAGUAGGGAAUAUUGGACAAUGGGCGCAAGCCUGAUCCAGCCAUGCCGCGUGAGUGAAGAAGGCCCUCGGGUUGUAAAGCUCUUUUGUCCGGAAAGAAAAGCGCCGGGUUAAUACCCUGGUGUCCUGACGGUACCGGAAGAAUAAGCACCGGCUAACUUCGUG
rnacentral:rRNA from 1 species